rnacentral:sRNA from 1 species
UGUGUGAUAGAGUAUGUGUCUGUGAGAGAGAGAGAGAGUGAGAAGGUAUGUGUGCUUGACAGAGAGAGAGAGAGAGAGAGCAUGCAAGAGACAGAAAUACUUAGUGUUACAUUAGCCUCGAAUAAAAGGUUAAAUAUUUUACCAAAACAAUGCUUUACUUAUAUAUAUAUAUUGUUUUACAGGAGAACGUGGUGAAUCGGGUACUCCAGGUAACAAUGGAGCUAGUGGCUCACCAGGUUCACCAGGACCAACGGGCAACACAGGAGAAACUGGUCCACCGGGGAACACUGGACCAAAGGGAGAAACCGGAGACAAAGGUCAGUUGGAAACAGGAAAAAGGACACAA